UAUUCCCUCCACCUACUUUCCCCCAAAUCUUUUCACCUCCCCUUUCACCGGUGAGCAAAAAAAUCGGGCAAUCUCUCCAAAAUCGGCAUAAUCGUUUAUCCACCGGCCACCAUCUCGUCUCCACGGCCACCACCGGCACCACCUCUUCUCCUCGUGCAAAAUAAGUUUCUCCACCGGCACCACCCGUCUCCACGGCCACCACCGGCACCAACUUGUCUCCACGGCCACCACAGUCACCACCUCUUCUCCUCGUGCAAAAUAAGGAAUACGUUUCGACUUUGUUCCAAAGUCCGGCUUUCGUAAACCAACUGGAAGCUUUUCUUGCGGCGAGGGGAAAGGAAGUCGCACCCGACGAUGAGUAUGACGAUGAGUAUGACGAUGACGACCUAACUUGAAUCAUUUCUUGCGGCGAGGGGAAAUUAGUAUUAUUGUA